ACGGUCAUAACACACUGAAAACACCGGUUAUCGUAUGAUCAUCCAAGUUAAGCAACGUUCGGCCCGGUCAGUACUUGGGAGGGUGAAAAAUCGGGUAAUUUAGGCUGAUUCCUCU